AAUGAACGUUGGCGGCGUGGAUUAGGCAUGCAAGUCGAGCGGAAAGGCCCGCAAGGGCACUCGAGCGGCGUAAGGGACAGUAAUGUGUAGGUAACGUACCCCUGGGUCUAGGAUAGCUGCGGGAAACUGCAAUUAAUACUAGAUAACGUCUCCGGACCAAAGGUGUGAUUCCACCUGGGGAGCGGCCUACAUCCCAUUAGCUAGUUGGCGAGGUAAUGGCUCACCAAGGCGAAGAUGGGUAGCAGGUGUGAGAGCACGACCUGCGUCACUGGGACUGAGAAACGGCCCAGACACCUACGGGUGGCUGCAGUCGAGAAUCUUCGGCAAUGGGCGAAAGCCUGACCGAGCGACGCCGCGUGUGGGAUGAAGGCCUUCGGGUUGUAAACCACUGUCGGAGGGGAUGAAGUGUUAGUGGGUUCUCCCAUUAACUUGACUGAUCCUCGGAGGAAGGGUGGGCUAAGUUCGUGCCAGCCGCCGCGGUAAGAC
rnacentral:rRNA from 1 species